GAGAGAGAGAGAGAGAGAGAGAGAGAGGUGGCGCCCGACACACCGUGCUGCCUCCCGGGGGAUGCGGCCACGACUCGGUACAGUAGUUGGGCUUUCAUUGGCUUGUGUUCCCAACUCGUGUGACGCUCGAUCCUGACCCGGCGACAUGCGUGGCGAAGGCGAACUGUGACACAGCGGCUUGCAGAUUAAACGCGGAGUAGCCGACGUAACAGCGCACCUUGUCCAGCGGAGAACCAUGAGCACUUUGGAGGAGCAGACGGACCACAUGAUACCAUGAAGUCAAGCCUGCAGGCCCUGAGCUCCUCGCUGCUGAGUUGAAAACAGUCAUAACGCUAUAGGUGGUUGAACCAAGGCAGACGCUAAACCUUACCCUGGUCCUUCAUAACCAUCUUCCCUCCAUCAUGU
ensembl:lncRNA